CCUGUUAGCCCUGAUAGAUGCUGCAAGCAACAGGAUGUCAAGCAUAAUAAUAACAGAGAGCCACCGCCUCAAAGCGUGGGGAGUGCUGGGUGAAGGAACAGGAGCUCACCUUCUUAACAAAGCUAAAACCAGGAUCCUGACCAAACAGGAGCUUGUGGGUAACUACAACAUCUAGAAAUUCUUUUCAAAAUGAUGUUAGCAUGUAAGGAAGUAUAGGCAGGAAGGUGCAGGUACGCUCCUUUUGAUGCUUUCAUAAAUGGGUGACAAAAGAACCAACAGCAAAGUGAAGAGAGGCAUACUUCAGAAAAAGUGUCCUCACUGAGUACUCACUAACAACUCAAGUUAAGGGGUUGUUACAAAAGGAAAGUAAUCAGUAGGACUUUAUUCUGCAUUGUUUCUCAAAAAGAGUGGAUUUCUGAGAGGAUAACAGGCUGCUGUUUUCUUCCCCUCCUAUUGUGCUUUGCUUUUAGACCCAAAUGGCAAUGCCCGAGCACCUGAUGUUGUCUCUGUGGAUCCUGUCACUGGGCUGUUAACCCCCAGCCCGCACUGUGCCAUGCUGCUGAGCAGCCAGUGCUCUGGGCCAGUACCCAGCAACCACUUCCUGCAUCCGGGCACUGGGAAGGUGCUUCAUGUAGCUGGCAACGUCGGUUAUGAUCCCAUCAGAUCUAGGCUGGUCUGUACUGUUGAUUCUGCUUCCGGUGAGCGUCAGAAGCCUGAAGUACCCAUAUUUCCCUACAUUCCUUACCCAGUUUGUCCUGACACCGGCCUACCCGUGAAGACAAAAUUUCCAGUCCUGUGUCCUGAAAAAAUAUUUGCGCUGGGAGGACUCAUGGCAGAUCCAGUGACAGAAAUAGAAGUACCAGUGCUUGGGGUUACGAUCCAUCCUCACACUGGGCAAAAGCUGGCUGUGGGUGGGACAUACCUCAACCCCAUCACCGGCACAUUGACACCGCUGGAGAUCGGGGGUCCUAUGACAGAGCCAGAAGGAGGCAAGAUUGUUCCAAUACUCGGGGUCGGUUUGGAUGGUAACACUGGUAGGUGAAUUCCUUAUUAACUGGUAAAUGAGGUAUGCACUGUACAUUUAGCCUGCCCUUAACCCACUGAUUACAGGCAUGGAACAGAUGGAGCCUAAAGCCGACACUUUCACCUUCCACCUUUGCCUUGUCCUGUCAAGACUAAUCCACACCUUAGCUUUUUACUGAGAGAAUCCUUCUCCAUAAUUGUAUUUUAUCACUUUAAAAGUCAGUAAAACUGUCUGCUGAAUCUACGAGAGACAUUUGAGGUACUGCAUUAACCAAUAUAGCUAUGACACAAGCGACUGAGGUUGAUUUGGACUAGAUGAUCUUUUGAGGUCCCUUCCAAUCCCUGACAUUCUGUGAUUUGACUCAAAGAUGGUCCAAUUGCUCUGUUAAAAUAAUAAAAGCAGCAAGAAAUACA
rnacentral:lncRNA from 1 species